GUGGUUGGGUUACUUAUAGCAUAGGUGGCCAUCAGGUCCCAGGUCUAUAUCCACUCCCCACCUGAAAAUCAGGAUCCAGGUGGAUACCCAUAUUCUAGGUGAACACCAGUUUCCAAAUGGACAUCAGGCUCCAAGUGAACACACAGGCUAAAUAUGAACGUCGGGCUCCAGGAAGAAGUCUGUGCCCCAGUUAAACACCGGGUCUUAGGUAGACAUCAGGCCUCAAAUGGAUGCCCAGGCCCCAGGUGGAUAUAAGGCCUCAGGCAAACACCAGAUCCCAGGUAGACAUUAGACACAAGAUGGACACUCAGGCCACAAGUGAACAUCUGUUCCCAGAUGGACAUCCAUCCCAAGGUGGACAUCAGGCCAGAGAUGUACACCCAGGCCCCAGGAGAACCCCAGGCCCCAGGAGGACACUCAAGCGCCAGAAGGACACCCAGUCCCUAGGUAACUAAAAGGCCCCAAGUGGACAUGAUGUUCCAGAUGGAUAUGAGGCCCCAAGUGGAUACUAGGCCCAGGUGGACCCCAGGUCUCAGGGGCACACCAGGCCCCAGGGGAACACCAGGCCCUGGGUAAGCAUGCAGUCCCAGGUGGACAUCAGGUGCCAGGAGGACACCAGGACCCAGUUGGUCAUCAAGCCACAGCUGAACACCAGUUCCCCAUGAACACCAGUCCUCAGGUGGGCACCUAGUCCUCCCGUGUGCAUCAGGUGCCAGGCUGACAUAUGCACCAGCUGAACUCUGGGCCUCAGGUGAACAUCAGAUCCCAGGUUGUCACCCAGGCCCCAAGUGAAUACCAGGUUUUAGGUGGACACGAGGUCCUAGGUGGAUGUCUAUGCUCCUGGUGAACCUCAGGCCCUAGUGGACACUCAGGCCCUUUAUAGACAUCUGGCUCCUUGUGCACUCCCAGGGCCCAGGUAGACAUGAGGACCCAGAGGAAAACCAGUCCUUAGUCAUCUAACACUGAAUUCCCCUAGGGCUGGAGACUGAGUAUUCACCUUGGGCCUAGGAAUCUACCUGGGGCCAGAUGUUGAUCUGGGGCCUGAUGUCUACUCAGGUUCAGCUGUCCACUUAGGGUGGGGUGUUUUUCUGGGACCCAGAGUCUACCUGAAAUCUUGGUAUCAACCUGGGGCCUAUGUGUCCACUUGGAGUCUGAUGUGCACUUGAAGCCUGAAUUUUCACCUAGGAUCUGAUGAGCACUUGGGGCGCAGGUUUCCAUCUGAAAAUCAGGCUCUAGUUAUACAUCUGGGCCCCAGGUAUACCCUGGACACCGAAAGAACUCCAGCCCCUAUCUUAACAUGAGGUCCUAGGUGGAUGCCCAGGCGUCAUGUCUACAUUAGGCCUCAGGUAGACACGACUCCAGGCGGGCAUCAGGCCUGAUAUUGGCUCUAUGUCUCCACCCAAAUCUCAUGUUGAAUUGUAAUCCCCAUGGGUUGAAGAAGGGGCGUGGUGAGAGGUGAUUGAAUCAUGGGGGCAGACUUCCCACUUGCUCUUCUCGUGAUAGACUUCUUACGAGAUCUGGUUAUUUGAAAGUGUGCAGCACAUCCCCCUUCUCUCUCCCUCCUCCUCCCCCAUGGUAAAAAGGGCUUGCUUCCUCUUGGCUUUACAUCAUGAUUGUAAGUGUCCCGGGCCCACCCAGUCAUGCUCCCUAUUAAGCCUGAAGAACUGUGGGUCAGUUAAACCUCUUUUCCUCAUAAGUUGCCCAAUAUCAGGUAGUUUUUUAUAACAGUGUGAAAAUGGACUAAUACAAGACCUUAGGAUAACAACCAUGCUUCAGGCCAUAGGUGGACAUCUGGCUGCAACUGGACACUAUUCCCCAGGUGGAUACCUAGGCUCAAGGUUGACAUUAGUCUCCAGGUAAACAACAAGCCCCAGGUGAAUACCUAUGCCCUAAGUAGACAUCAGGCCUCAGGCUGACACUCAGUCUAAGCUCAACAUUAGGCUCAGGUGGACACCCAGACUCCAGGUGGAUACUAGACCCCAGGGGAACACCAGACUCCUGGUAAGCAUAAGGCCCCAGGAGGACACUAGAAUCCAGGUGUACAUAAAGCCACUGGUUGACUCCAAGCCCUCAGAUGAACACCAGGCCAACUAGUGGACAUUAGGCACAUGAGAAUACUUGGGCACCAGGCAGGUAUCAGGCCCCGGGUAAACAUCAAACUUCAGGUGGACAUCGUUCUCCAUGUAAACUCUAGCCCCAGCUAAACAUCAGGCUCCAGGUGGAAGCCCAGACCCCAGGUGCACUUCUGGCCACAGUUGGACAUCUGUCCCCAGGUGAAUAUCAGACCAUGGAUGGAUAGCAAGUCCCCAGGUGGACAUCAGGUCAAAAGAGAAUAUAAGUCUCUAGGAAGACAUCUGGCCCCAGGUGGAUACUGAACUAGAGGUUUACGUCAAAGAUGAACACAAGACCUAAGGUUGUCAUUCAAGCCCCAAAUGGACACCAGGCCCUAGGUGAAUAAUAUGACCCAGGGGAUCAUUGGGACCCAGCUGCAUACCAGUCCCCAGGUUUACACGAGGCCCCAAGUAGGUUCCUAAGCUCUAGUUGAACAUGAGGUCUCCAGUAGACACCCAGGACUAAGGUGGACAUCAAGCAUCAGAUGGACGUCUGGCUGCGGAUGAACAUCAAGCCUCACAUGGAUACCUAGUCCGCAGGUAGGCAUCAGGCCCCAGUUUGACAUCAGUUUCUGGGUGGAUCCUUAAGCCCCAGGUGGAUAUCCAGUGUCCAGCUGGACAUCAGCCCCUCGUGGACGCCCAGUCCCCAGGUGAAUAUCAGGUCUCAGAUGAACACAAGUCCUCAGGCAGACAUCAGACACCAGGUGUACACUCAGACCCCAAGAGGACAUCUGUCCCCAGGUUGACAUCACUCUCAAGGUGUACAUUAAGCCACAGAUGUACACCCAGGUCCAAGGCAGACACGAGUCCCCAGUAAAACUCAAGGCCCCAGGAGGAUACUCAAGCCCUAGGUGGAUGCCCAGACCCCAGGUAAUUACAAGGCCCCAGGUGGAUACCAGAUUCCAGAUGAACAUUAGGCCUCAAGUGGAUACCUAGGCACCAGGUAGACACCAGGCCCCAGGUACAUCCCCUGGUCUCAGGUGCACACUAGGUCCCCAGUGAACACUGGCUCCAGGUAAGCACCCAGUCCAAGGUAGACAUCAUGACCCAGGUGGUCAUUAGGCCACAGCUGAACACCAAUCUUGAGUGAACACCAGAUCCCAGGUGGGUACCUAGUCCAGGUGGAUAUUAGGCCCCAAGUGGACACCCAGCCCCCAGGUGAACAUCAAGCUUCAGGUGGACAUCAUGCCUCAGGUGAACUCCGGGUCCCAGCCCAGCUGAACAUCAGGCUGCAGGUGGAUGCCUAGGUUCCAGGUGCACAACAGGUCACAGUUGGACAUUCAGCCCCAG
rnacentral:lncRNA from 10 species